rfam:Candidatus Kaiserbacteria bacterium RIFCSPHIGHO2_01_FTLL_56_24 rifcsphigho2_01_scaffold_370, whole genome shotgun sequence.
GGAGUUCUGGAUAAGGGCGUGCGGUGGAUGCCUAGACUGAAGAAAGCGAAGAAGGACGUGGCAUGGCUGCGAUAAGCUCCGGGAAAAUGCCUAGCAAUUGCUAUAUCCGGAGAUUUCCGAAUGGGGAAACCCCAUCAUGUAAACCAUGAUGACUCUUGGCGUAAACAGCCUUGAGAGCUUACCUCGGGAAGUGAAACAUCUCAGUACCGAGAGGAAAAGAGAACAAUAGUUAUUCCCCAAGUAGCGGCGAGCGAAAAGGGAGGAGCCCAAACUCAGCCACAAUAACGCGAUGCGACGCAAGUCGUGGAGCGUUAUUGUGAAUGGGGGUUAUAAGGCUACAGCGCUGGAAACAGGUGGAGUAAAAAAAUGCUGCGUUAGAGGAAUCUGCUGGGAAGCAGAGCCCUAGAGGGUAAUAGCCCCGUAUUCGAAAACAAAGCAUCUCUAUGGCUGUAGUUCUUGAGUAACUCGAGACACGAAUAGCUCGAGUGAAUUUGCCAGAACUAACUGGUAAGGCUACAUAUUUCUUCAGAUCGAUAGUGAACAAGUACCGUGAGGGAAAGGUGAAA